rnacentral:rRNA from 1 species
UACGAAGGGGGCAAGCGUUGUCCGGAAUUAUUGGGCGUAAAGCGCGCGCAGGCGGUCCCUUAAGUCUGAUGUGAAAGCCCACGGCUCAACCGUGGAGGGUCAUUGGAAACUGGGGGACUUGAGUGCAGAAGAGGAAAGUGGAAUUCCAUGUGUAGCGGUGAAAUGCGUAGAGAUGUGGAGGAACACCAGUGGCGAAGGCGACUUUCUGGUCUGUAACUGACGCUGAGGCGCGAAAGCGUGGGGAGCAAACAGG